GAUAGCUCAGUUGGUAGAGCAUGAAACUCUUCAUCUCAGGGCUGUGGGUUCAAGCCCCAUGUUGGGCA